rnacentral:rRNA from 1 species
GACGAACGCUGGCGGCGUGCUUAACACAUGCAAGUCGAACGGAAAGGCCCUGAUUUUGUGGGGUGCUCGAGUGGCGAACGGGGGAGUGAAACGUGAGUAACCUGCCCUUGAAUGUGGGGUAACUUCAGGGAACUGGGGCUAAUACCGGAUAGGAGCUCCUGCUGCAUGGGGGGGGUUGGAAAGAUUCGGCGGUUGUGGAUGGACUCGCGGCUUAUCAGCUUGAUGGUGGGGUAGUGGCUUACCAAGGCUGUGAAGGGUAGCCGGCCUGAGAGGGUGAACGGGCACAUUGGGACUGAGAUACGGCCCAGUCGGCUACGGGACGCAGCAGUGGGGAACAUUGCACAAUGGGCGGAAGUCUGAUGCAGAAACGCCGCGUGCGUGAUGCCCUCUUUCGGGUGGUAAACCGCUGUCGCCGGUGACGAAGCGUGAGUGACGGUAAUGGGUAAAGAAGCACCGGCUAACUACGUG